ensembl:lncRNA
CUGUCUUAUACCAGAGAUAUAAGAAAGAUCAGGAAACUAUUUUAUUUUUGACACAUAUUUAACCCCUUGGGUGUCCUAGAGCAACACAACAUACAUAAAUGUGUUCGUGAGAGACUCACCAUCCCACAGAGGGGUCAUAUUAGCAUGUAGCCUACAGAUGUUUUUGUGAGAAGACGGAUUUUCAGGAUGUCUCCUGAUCUGACAAACACCGCUAUUAUCUCGGCCACCCAGAUAUAUCUCUAGCAUUAACAGACAGAUUUUUUUUAUGGUGAUUUUUGUAUUAUGCUAAUUCGAUUUCCGCAGGGCGGGGUAAUUGACUCGUGAGGGUUCAGAGCAAAUUAAAAGAGUCUAUAAGUUUGAAACCUAACUGCCAAACAGGACUGUACCCUUUGGCCCUUUCAGGGCUCCGACUUAGGUAGUCCCAAAUGACACCCUAUUCCCUAUAUAGUGCACUACUUUGGCCAGAGCCCUAUUCCCUAUAUAGUGCACUACUAUAGACCAGAGCCCUAUUCCCUAUAUAGUGCACUACUUUGGCCAGGGCCCUAUUCCCUAUAUAGUGCACUACUUUGGCCAGAGCCCUAUUCCCUAUAUAGUGCACUACUAUAGACCAGGGCCCUAUUCCCUAUAUAGUGCACUACUUUGGCCAGAGCCCUAUUCCCUAUAUAGUGCACUACUUUGGCCAGAGCUCGAUGGCCUGGUUAAAAGUAGUGCACUAAAUAUGGAAAAAAGGUGCCAUUUGAUGCACACUUCAAAAUAAAAGUAAUAGCUGUACACUCAAGCUACACUACAUGACCAAAAGUAUGUGGACACCUGCUUGUCCAACAUCUCAUUCCAAAAUCAUGGGUAUUAAUAUGAAUUUGGUUCCUCCUUUGCUGCUAUAACAUCCUCCACUCUUCUGGGAAGGCUUUCCACUAGAUGUUGGAACAUUGCUGCUAUAACAUCCUCCAGUCAUCUGGGAAGGCUUUCCACUAGAUGUUGGAAUAUUGCUGCUAUAACAUCCUCCACUCUUCUGGGAAGGCUUUCCACUAGAUGUUGGAACAUUGCUGCUAUAACAGCCUCCACUCUUCUGGGAAGGCUUUCCACUAGAUGUUGGAACAUUGCUGCUAUAACAGCCUCCACUCUUCUGGGAAGGCUUUCCACUAGAUGUUGGAACAUUGCUGCUAUAACAGCCUCCACUCUUCUGGGAAGGCUUUCCACUAGAUGUUGGAACAUUGCUGCCGGGUCUUGCUUCCAUUCGGGCACUGAUGUUGGGCAAUUAGGACUGACUCGAAGUCGGCAUUCCAAUUCAUCCCAAAGGUGUUCGAUGGGGUUGAGGUCAGGGCUCUGUGCAGGCCAGUCAAGUUCUUCCACACCAAUCUCGACAAACCAUUUCUGUAUAGAUCUAUCUUUGUGCACGGGGGCACUGUCAUGCUGAAACAGGAAAGGGCCUUCCCCAAACUGUUGCCACAACGUUGGAAGCACAGAAUCAUCUAGAAUGUCAUUGUAUGUUGUAGCGUUAAGAAUUCCCUUCACUGGAACUAAGAGGCCUAGCCCGAACCAUGAAAAACAGCCCCAGACCAUUAUUCCUCCUCCACCAAACUUUACAGUUGUCUGUAUGCAUUGGGGCAGGUAGCAUUUUCCUGGCAUCUGCUAAACCCAGAUUCAUCCGUCACGCUGCCAGAUGGUGAAGUGUGAUUCAUCACUCCAGAGAACACAUUUCCACUGUUCCAGAGUCCAAUGGCGGCGAGCUUUACUCCAGCCGACGCUUGGCAUUGCGCAUAGUGAUAUUAGGCUUGUAUGCGGCUGCUCAGCCAUGGAAAUUUCCUAAAGGUCCCGACUAACAGUUAUUGUGCUGACGUUGCUUCCAGAGGCAGUUUGGAACUCGGUAGUGAGUUUUGGAACAGACAAUUUGUAUGCGCUACGCACUUCAGCACUCGGCGGACCCGUUCUGUGUACUUGUGUGGCCUACCACUUCACGGCUGAGCCGUUGUUGCUCCUAGACGUUUCCACAUCACAAUAUCAGCACUUACAGUUGACAUGGGGCAGCUCUAGUAGGGCAGAAAUUUGAUGAACUGACUUGUUGGAAAGGUGGCAUCCUAUGACGGUGCCACGUUGAAAGUCACUGUAAGGUCAUUCUACUGACAAUGUUUGUCUAUGGAGAUUGCAUUGCUGUGUGCUCAAUUUUAUACAUCUGUCAGCAACGGGUGUGGCUGAAACAGUGAAAUCCACUAAUUUGAAGGGGUGUCCACAUACUUUUUUAUAUACAAUGUAUCUCUGAUGCACAAUUCAAUAACCAACGUUAAUAAAGCUGUCAACAUUACAGCUGCUUCCUCUGUGCAUCAUUCAACGUUAAAGUGGUCUUCAUUAGGGCACCAUUUGAGGCGGAGCCUAAGUCUGUCUGAAAAUGCUGCUGUUCUUCCCUGAUUUUACAGACUCCCCUGAGCAACAUACACACAUGGUAUUGACACACACACUGAGAGACAUUGAUCUAUCACAUAAAACAGUCCAUAACCAGGCUGAGAUUGAUCUGAUAGCAGAACAAAUACGACUUAGUGCUUUUAAAACCCUGUGAAAACCCAACCACCGGGUCCACCCUUAGUAUAGUGAUUAACAGCCUCAACGGCCAAUCCAAGUGUCACUUCCUCCUUCGUUGACUAAUCAGACCGCG